rnacentral:misc_RNA from 1 species
UUAGUUGAGUUGAGUUGAGUUGAAGCAUUUGCAUGAGUUAAAAAUGGAAUUGAACAAUUAUGAAACUACUUAAAUUUAAAGAGAAAAUGACAAGAGACUAGUGAUGAAGAGCUCAUACAGAUAUUCUCUGCUUGAUACUAAAGAGCAGAUUACGGCAAUUUUUAAGGAGAAUAAAAUUUGGAUAUAGUAAAUGUAGAGAAUAAAAAUGUAAAUUCGAGUGCAAUUUUUACCUGAAAUAGUUAUGGUUCUUCAUGUAGUCCAAAACUCUUCUUUUUUUUUUUUUUUGUUUUUUUGGUACAAUUGGCUCCGAUUGGCUGUCAAACUCGAGAUGUCAUAAUUUUGGAGGCAACUUUAGUACCAUUGAGUUAAGCUCAUUAAUUAUGUAAAAGCUUUUUGUGCUACUCAUCUAUAUACACGAUGUUUAUUUAUUAUCGUCAUUUUUGUUUCUUAAGAAAACUGCAAAGUCUAAAAUUUCAAACUCUC